rnacentral:rRNA from 1 species
AGUGAACGCUGGCGGUAGGCCUAACACAUGCAAGUCGAACGGCAGCACAGGAGAGCUUGCUCUCUGGGUGGCGAGUGGCGGACGGGUGGGGAAUACAUCGGAAUCUACUCCGUCGUGGGGGAUAACGUAGGGAAACUUACGCUAAUACCGCAUACGACCUACGGGUGAAAGCAGGGGACCUUCGGGCCUCGCGCGAUUGAAUGAGCCGAUGUCGGAUUAGCUAGUUGGCGGGGUAAAGGCCCACCAAGGCGACGAUCCGUAGCUGGUCUGAGAGGAUGAUCAGCCACACUGGAACUGAGACCCGGUCCAGACUCCUACGGGAGGCAGCAGUGGGGAAUAUUGGACAAUGGGCGCAAGCCUGAUCCAGCCAUACCGCGUGGGUGAAGAAGGCCUUCGGGUUGUAAAGCCCUUUUGUUGGGAAAGAAAUCCAGCUGGCUAAUACCCGGUUGGGAUGACGGUACCCAAAGAAUAAGCACCGGCUAACUUCGUGCCAGCCGCCGCGGUAA